rnacentral:rRNA from 1 species
GGCGCACGGGUGCGUAACGCGUAUGCAACCUACCUUUUACUGGGGUAUAGCCCGAAGAAAUUCGGAUUAAUCCCCCAUAGCACUGAGCAUUCGCAUGAAUAAUCAGUUAAAGUUUCGGCGGUAAAAGAUGGGCAUGCGUCCUAUUAGCUAGAUGGUAAGGUAACGGCUUACCAUGGCUACGAUAGGUAGGGGGCCUGAGAGGGUGGUCCCCCACACUGGUACUGAGACACGGACCAGACUCCUACGGGAGGCAGCAGUGAGGAAUAUUGGUCAAUGGGCGCAAGCCUGAACCAGCCAUGCCGCGUGCAGGAAGAAUGUCCUAUGGAUUGUAAACUGCUUUUAUUUGGGAAUAAACCCCCCGACGUGUCGGGGUCUGAAGGUACCAAAUGAAUAAGCACCGGCUAACUCCGUGCCAGCAGCCGCGGUAAUACGGAGGGUGCAAGCGUUAUCCGGAAUCAUUGGGUUUAAAGGGUCCGCAGGCGGGCAUAUAAGUCAGUGGUGAAAGCCUACAGCUCAACUGUAGAACUGCCAUUGAUACUGUAAGUCUUGAAUUCGGUCGAAGUGGGCGGAAUGUGUAGUGUAGCGGUGAAAUGCAUAGAUAUUACACAGAACACCGAUAGCGAAGGCAGCUCACUAGGCCUGGAUUGACGCUCAGGGACGAAAGCGUGGGGAUCAAACAGGAUUAGAUACCCUGGUAGUCCACGCUGUAAACGAUGAUUACUCGUUUUCGGCGAUAUACAGUCGGAGACUAAGCGAAAGUGAUAAGUAAUCCACCUGGGGAGUACGAUCGCAAGGUUGAAACUCAAAGGAAUUGACGGGGGCCCGCACAAG